AGUGAACGCUGGCGGUAGGCCUAACACAUGCAAGUCGAACGGCAGCACAAUAAGAGCUUGCUCUUACGGGUGGCGAGUGGCGGACGGGUGAGGAAUACAUCGGAAUCUACUUUUUCGUGGGGGAUAACGUAGGGAAACUUACGCUAAUACCGCAUACGACCUACGGGUGAAAGCAGGGGAUCUUCGGACCUUGCGCGAUUGAAUGAGCCGAUGUCGGAUUAGCUAGUUGGCGGGGUAAAGGCCCACCAAGGCGACGAUCCGUAGCUGGUCUGAGAGGAUGAUCAGCCACACUGGAACUGAGACACGGUCCAGACUCCUACGGGAGGCAGCAGUGGGGAAUAUUGGACAAUGGGCGCAAGCCUGAUCCAGCCAUACCGCGUGGGUGAGGAAGGCCUUCGGGUUGUAAAGCCCUUUUGUUGGGAAAGAAAAGCAGCAGGUUAAUACCCCGCUGUUCUGACGGUACCCAAAGAAUAAGCACCGGCUAACUUCGUG
rnacentral:rRNA from 1 species